rnacentral:rRNA from 1 species
UACGAAGGGGGCGAGCGUUGUUCGGAAUUACUGGGCGUAAAGGGCGCGUAGGCGGUCUGUCGCGUCGGCUGUGAAAACCUGAGGCUCAACCUCGGGCCUGCAGUCGAUACGGGCAGACUAGAGUUCGGUAGGGGAGACUGGAAUUCCUGGUGUAGCGGUGGAAUGCGCAGAUAUCAGGAGGAACACCGGUGGCGAAGGCGGGUCUCUGGGCCGAAACUGACGCUGAGGAGCGAAAGCGUGGGGAGCGAACAGG